CCUCCCCUGAUACUCCUGUUGCUUUUUAACUAAAGUCCCAUAAAGUAACAAAAACUGGAAAAGUGUGUGUAAUGUGUGUGUAGAAUUUCUACUCACUACCGCCCCCUAUGUUUGAAUGGUGCUGGGUGCGCGGCUACACACACUCCCGUGUGUGUGUAUAACUUCUCGCGGGAUUUGCCUGAGAUCUCGCCAUGUGUCCACGAAUCUCGCGAGAUGUAAGGCAAAGUCCCAUGCAGUGGUUCGAGAUCUGGAUCUGAUUCCCCAAGCCGUGUGGAUCUGUCUAACUCAUGAACUUCUUCUCCAAGGUGACACACAAUCAGGCUCCUGCUGUGGCAGUGGACACGGAGACGCCUUUAGACUGGACUACAUAUGAUGGAUGUGACCCAAAUAGAGCUACAGUCAGGUGACACACAAUCAGGCUCCUGCUGUGGCAGUGGACACGGAGACGCCUUUAGACUGGACUACAUAUGAUGGAUGUGACCCAAAUAGAGCUACAGUCAGGUAAGGGAGUAUUGUAAACACUGUUGUCUCUAUAUAUGUUGACCUGUACAUGAUGUAGCU